UAUUAAUUUUUUUUAUCUAUUUGUAUUGUUAAAAUUUGGCAAGAUUGACGAAAUAAUCAGACAAUAAUACAUGGUAUGCCACAUAUACAUUAUGAUGACGUACGUAAACAAAAUUUUAAUAUUAUAAAUGGAUGAAAUAUUUAAUA
rfam:Gossypium hirsutum cultivar TM-1 chromosome 24, whole genome shotgun sequence